UACAGAGGGUGCGAGCGUUACUCGGAAUUACUGGGCGUAAAGCGUGCGUAGACGGUUAUUUAAGUCGGGUGUGAAAGCCCCGGGCUCAACCUGGGAAUUGCAUUCGAGACUGAAUAGCUAGGGUACGGUAGAGGGAAGCGGAAUUUCCGGUGUAGCGGUGAAAUGCGUAGAUAUCAGGAGGAACACCGGUGGCGAAGGCGGUUCUCUGGGCCUUACCUGACGCUGAGGAGCGAAAGCGUGGGGAGCGAACAGG
rnacentral:rRNA from 1 species